rnacentral:rRNA from 1 species
AUUGAACGCUGGCGGCAGGCUUAACACAUGCAAGUCGAGCGGGGUGAUGGUGCUUGCACUAUCACUUAGCGGCGGACGGGUGAGUAAUGCUUAGGAAUCUGCCUAUUAGUGGGGGACAACAUCUCGAAAGGGAUGCUAAUGCCGCAUACGUCCUACGGGAGAAAGCAGGGGAUCACUUGUGACCUUGCGCUAAUAGAUGAGCCUAAGUCGGAUUAGCUAGUUGGUGGGGUAAAGGCCUACCAAGGCGACGAUCUGUAGCGGGUCUGAGAGGAGGAUCCGCCACACUGGGACGGAGACACGGCCCAGACUCCUACGGGAGGCAGCAGUGGGGAAUAUUGGACAAUGGGGGGAACCCUGAUCCAGCCAUGCCGCGUGUGUGAAGAAGGCCUUAUGGUUGUAAAGCACUUUAAGCGAGGAGGAGGCUCUUUUGGUUAAUACCCAAGAUGAGUGGACGUUACUCGCAGAAUAAGCACCGGCUAACUCUGUGCCAGCAGCCGCGGUAA